AUGGGAAGGAGGCCUGAAGGUGGGAGUGAGACCCUCUCGAUGCUGGGGGCUCCAGAUGCCAGCAGGACCCUGCCCACAAUUCUGAGUAGCCAAGGGCACCUGAGCCUACCUGUGUGCUGCCCAGGCCUGCUGCCUGUGCUGGUGAGAGGGACUGGAACCCACCCUUCAGCCUGGGACCCUGACCUGCACCCUCCCCGCCCCAUCCCGAGUCAGGGCCUUGAGUGCUUCCAGUGCUACAGUGUCUUGGACCCCAGCCUGUGCCACCCGUCUCCGACCCCAUGCAGGCUCAAAGCUGCCCCUCCUCUGUGGUCACUGGCACUACCAAUGGGCAGAAAUUCAGCUACGCUAGCAAGAGCUGUGCCCCCACCCCGUGCCCAGAUUAUGAACCUCACCCAUCCUGUGGUCCAUGGAGGGUCUUACCCCAUAGAAACUGAGGAUGGACUGAUUGACUUGAAGACUGAGAAGCUGGACAUGACCUGCUGUGAAAAGAGCUUCUGUAACAAGGCAGCCACAGCGUGGCGCGGCCUUUGGGGCCUGGCUGUCAGGGAGCUCCUGCUCAGCCUGGGCCUCUUCCUUUGGGCCCUGCUGUGAGCCCAGCCCACCCUGGCACUGCCCCUGGUGGGUAAAUAGGAGCACAGGGCGGUUGCCCUGUGCAGCCCUCAGCUCCUGCCCUGAUGCCCUCGCCUAGCCGCCCAGCAGCCCAGAGACCCCCCUCACCCAGCAGCCUAGAUGCCCACUGGCCCAGAUAGUAAAUGCACGUGUUCAACCCAAGGACUUUGUUCCCUUAUUAACCCUUGGGGUCUGGUCUGUGGCCUUCAAGGGGGUCCCAGCAAAUUCCCCAAGGUGGGGUUCAGAGACUGGAGGGCCUUCCCCAGGUGGCCCAGCCCUGUGCUCAUUUCCAGCCAGGAUCAGGCUCAGCCCCAGCCCGAGGUCCAGAAGCAGCCCGGAGGGUCUUGCACUCAGGGCUGGGGCCACCCAGGAAGACUUGUUGGGGGCUGACAGAGGGGGCGGAGGGGUGGAGGCACUAAGGGCCCAGGCCAGCUGUGGCUGCCGGAUGUGUGAAACGGUCCUGGGCCCACAGGCUGGUGACUCCUGCAAGGCACCGCAGAGGGCGGGGGUGUCAAGGGGGCAGAGGCUGCAGCGCAGGGU
rnacentral:lncRNA from 1 species